AUUCAACUGAUGAGUCCCAAAUAGGAGGAAACGCGUGUCAAACUAAAU
rfam:Schistosoma rodhaini strain Burundi genome assembly, scaffold: SROB_scaffold0006026